AUUUACAAGCAUUCUAUGAAGUUUUUCUCAAGUUUUCUCUCAACAAAAACCCUAAGUAUCCAAAACCUGUUCCAAGAAUCUUAAGAAUCCACCAUAAAUUUUCUAAAUUGAGUCAAGAUUCAAGGUUUCCAAGUCAAGGGCCUCAAGAACCCCCAUCCAAGAGUACGAAUAGAGUUCCAAAAGCGAGAGUUCAUCCAAAGCUUCUAAUUCAAGGGAUUUGGUGUUCAGAGCGGACAUAUUUCCAUUCAUAACUGAUCUAGAUCAAUCUCCACAACAUGUGUUUUCUUCAUAUGAUCCAGAAGUGGAAUCACCUAAUACCACUGGAGUGACUAGACCUCAAUCUAAUGUUGAUCUUCAACAGCAAGACACAAGUGACUUCACUACAGAUCAACGAAGUACUACACAUAGUAAACUAGUACAACUCAUUGCAUAGGACCACCAUGUACAACCAGUUCCAACAAGAAGAAUAACAAGAUCUAUUAGCAGACAGUAGGUUGCAGAACAACCUGUCACAAUAAGGAUCACAACCAGACUACAACCAGCUGCUCAACAAGACCAAAGAAAAUCUACUAGGGGUUUAAAUCCAUCUGCAUGGAUGAAAGCCUACCUCUUAUGCAAAAGAAGUAAAAGAUCCAAGAUGGGUAGAUGCUAUAAAAACUAAAGUGGCUGCACUUCAAAACAAUAAUACCUAGAAAGUAGUUGAUCUUUCAGUAGGCAAGUAACCUAUAGGGUGCAAAUGGAUCUACAAAAUCAAGUAUAAAGACUCAGGAGAAGUAGAAAGAUUUAAGGCAAGACUGGUUGCAAAAGGUUUUAGUCAGUAAGAAGGCAUAGACUAACAAAAAACAUUUAGUCCAUUGGUGAGAAUGGUCGCAUUGAGAACAGUUUUGGCAAUAGCUGCUGCUAGACACUGGAACAUUCAUCACAUGGAAGUGUUCAAUGAUUUUCUACAAGGAGAUUUGGAGGAUGAUAUCUACAUGGAGCUUCAGAGAGAUAAUAAAUAAGUAUGCAGACAUACUAAAUCCUUGUAUGGAUUGAAACAAUGUAACGCCCCAAAAUUUAGGCUACAAUAUAGGCCAUGAUUUCAAUGUGUUGUUAAUCCCGAAGCCAUAAAAUCUAUGCCAAUAUGGCAUGUUAAUUAUUGU